rnacentral:lncRNA from 1 species
UUGAACCCUACCAGAGGAACAGAUAAUGAAAGCCAAAACCGGAUCACAACAGUGGACUUAUAAUAAACGGCUGCUUACACUUGGUUUUCCCCUUGACAGUGGUAUUCUAACAGCUGAUGGAUCUUAAGUACUGCUCACUAUAACAACUGAUGAACCAAACACUGAUGAGAUUCGAAAGACUGCUGAAGACAAACAUUGUUGCUCUAUCUACUGCUGUUUCAUAAGUACUGCUGAAGACACAAGCACUGCCCAUUCAAAGACUGAUCACCUUUGAAGAAAGCACUAAAGCUCAACAUCAGUGCUCAGGCUACAACAGUGGAAUAGUUGUUAUCUCUUGUUUUGUAUUGUACUUAUAAUCAGAUGUUACACAUCAGUAGUUUGUUUAAAACAGUGUUUAUAGAUUGUUAGUUUAUUAGAUGUCACUAUCAUGGUGACGUCAGCUGAGAUGCUUCAGUGGUUUGGUUUGCCUAUAAAUGGAGCAUCUAAUCCUUUCAUCUUGUGCAACCAACCUUGGGGUAUUAGGCUGAGGGGGAGCUUAGUUAUGUAAGCAUGCUUGUAAUCUUUUGAUUUUCAUUGUAAUCAUUCGACUCAAAGUAAAGCAAGUGUUUAUCAUAUUAUUCUCUUCUUUGAUUGUGUU